GCAAGUCGAGCGGUAAGCUAACUUCGGUUAGCCUAGAGCGGCGGACGGGUGAGUAACACGUGGAUAAUCUACCUCCUUGUUUGGGAUAGCUUGUGGAAACAUAAGGUAAUACCGAAUGAGAUUCAUUUGUCAAAAGGCUUUUGAAGGAAAGGCGCUGAGGGGUCGCAAGGAGAUGAGUCCGCGGCCCAUUAGAGAGAGGGCAGGGUAAAAGAGUACCGUGGCAAUGAUGGGUAGCCGGCCUGAGAGGGUGAGC
rnacentral:rRNA from 1 species